rnacentral:rRNA from 1 species
GACGAACGCUGGCGGCGUGCUUAACACAUGCAAGUCGAGCGGAGCGGCGAACGGGUGAGUAACGCGUGAGUAACUGCCCCCCUCUCUGGGAUAACAGUUGGAAACGGCUUCUAAUACCGGAUAGUGGGGGAUGACUCGCGUCCUAUCAGCUUGUUGGUGGGGUAGUGGCCUACCAAGGCGACGACGGGUAGCCGGCCUGAGAGGGCGAGCGGCCAAAUUGGGAUGGGAUACAGGCCUAACUCCAACGGGGGGCAGCAGGUGGGGAAAUUGGACAAAGGGGGAAACCCUGAUGCAGCAACGCCGCGGGCGGGAUGACGGACUUCGGGUUGUAAACCGCUUUCAGCCAUGACGCGGUAGUGGCAGAAGAAGCACCGGCUAACUACGUGCCAGCAGCCGCGGUAAUAC